rnacentral:rRNA from 1 species
UACGUAGGCAGCAAGCGUUGUUCGGAGUUACUGGGCGUAAAGAGUGCGUAGGCGGUUUCCUAAGUUUGGUGUGAAAUCUCCCGGCUUAACUGGGAGGGUGCGCCGAAGACUGGGGAGCUAGAGGAUGGGAAAGGAAAGUGGAAUUCCUGGUGUAGCGGUGAAAUGCGUAGAUAUCAGGAGGAACACCGGUGGUGUAGACGGCUUUCUGGACCGUAACUGACGCUGAGACACGAAAGCGUGGGUAGCAAACAGG